rnacentral:misc_RNA from 1 species
GAUGAAGAACGUAGCGAAAUGCGAUAAGUAAUGUGAAUUGCAGAAUUCAGUGAAUCAUCGAAUCUUUGAACGCACAUUGCGCCCCCUGGUAUUCCGGGGGGCAUGCCUGUCCGAGCGUCAUUACAACCCUCAAGCUCAGCUUGGUGUUGGGCCCCGCCGCCCCGGCGGGCCCUAAAGUCAGUGGCGGUGCCGUCCGGCUCCGAGCGUAGUAAUUCUUCUCGCUCUGGAGGUCCGGUCGUGUGCUCGCCAGCAACCCCCAAUUUUUUUCAGGUUGACCUCGGAUCAGGUAGGGAUACCCGCUGAACUUAAGACUAUCAAUAAGCGGAGGA